rnacentral:misc_RNA from 1 species
CCCAACUAUCCCUAUUAAUCAUUACGGUGGUCCUAGAAACCAACAAAAUAGAACCACAACGUCCUAUUCUAUUAUUCCAUGCUAAUCUAUUCAAGCAAUAGCCCGCUUUAAACACUCUAAUUUUUUCAAGGUAAUGGUCCUGGCUCCCCAACACACCCAAUUAAGGACAUACUGGUUCACCAGAAGGAAGACCCGACAACAGGACAGUACUCGCCAAAGACGGACCGCCCGGCCAAGUCUAAAAUUCAACUACGAGCUUUUUAACUGCAACAACUUUAAUAUACGCUAUUGGAGCUGGAAUUACCGCGGCUGCUGGCACCAGACUUGCCCUCCAA